AUCUAGCCAAGUGUAAUUGCAGGUGUCAAACUUGUGAUUAGUUAGGGGAAUCCGGUGAAUUGAAUUAUGGCCUAGGGUUCCCACAGAAGUUUUAAAAAGGAAAGUUUUCCUCCCAAUUAUGCUUAGGCUAAGGCUGAAGACAAAGUUUAGGCUUAUUUUGAGAAUUAGUUAUUUUGUUGGCAACCUUGGAUUUAUGCUGACCUACCUUCUGGAUUCUAUUCUAAGAAUUUGUAUUAAUGAUUGGUGGAACAACCAAGGUAAUUUAAUCUUGCACCUUAAUACAUUCUGAGGAAAGACCUUUGGAUUGGUCUAUUUGUCAGGGCUUUGCAGAAACUUUCAGUUGCCUUAGACUCUACCUGAAGAAAGUUAAUUCUGGGACUUUAAACCUGGGCAAAGGAGCCUGCAUACGGAUAUAACAUCCUAGAAGAAGCAGAGUGGGCUGGUGGUCUGCUUCUGAUAAAGAGAACCAGUCUGGUGGCAGCCGACAGCUUAAAGUGUGCCUUGUCUGUCAAGAAGCCAGCAUCCAUAAAUAAUGUAGACUGAGGUGGAGUCACAUAAAUACCAUUAUUUUCUGCAAAUAAGACAAGAUGUUGGCACUCUUCAUACAAGAAAAAAGUGUCACUGUGAAGAAAAAAUAUUCCAACUUUCAAGAAAGGCCAAAAAAGAAAUGAUAGAAAAUUCAAUGCAUAAUGUACACUGUUUUAUAUUUUUCAUGCAAUGGUUCAGCUGUUUCUUCUGAAGCAAGAGAGAAAACAUCAAAAGGAGUUUUCCCCAUGGAUAAAACUCUUCAAAUAUAACACACCUAAUGUUUUUUACACUACUGUUAAGACCUUUUUAAAAUGUAUGUUUGUUCUCACUCUUUUAGACCCACAUUUUGACAUCCAUAGCUUCAUGCGUUCA